GAUGAACGCUGGCGGCGUGCCUAAUACAUGCAAGUCGAGCGGUAAGGCCCUUCGGGGUACACGAGCGGCGGACGGCUGAGUAACACGUAGGAACGUACCCCAAACUGAGGGAUAAGCACCAGAAAUGGUGUCUAAUACCGCAUGUGGCCUUCGGGCUAAAGCUCCGGCGGUUUGGGAACGGCCUGCGUCCGAUUAGCUAGUUGGUAGUGUAAUGGACUACCAAGGCGACGAUCGGUAGCUGGUCUGAGAGGAUGAUCAGCCAGACUGGGACUGAGACACGGCCCAGAAUCCUACGGGAGGCAGCAGUAGGGAAUUUUCCACAAUGGGGGCAACCCUGAUGGAGCGACGCCGCGUGCAGGAUGAAGGCCUUCGGGUUGUAAACUGCUUUUAUCUGGGACGAUUAUGACGGUAGCAGAUGAAUAAGGACCUGCUAACUACGUGCCAGCCGCCGCAGUAA
rnacentral:rRNA from 1 species